GCAUUAAUUAACAAAUAUAAAACAUUUUCCGUGUUGAUAUACAGUUAUAUCAACACGAGUGGAAUUGGGAAAACGAGAAAUUGUAGGGAAACACGACGCCCGAAGGGCGGAGUGUUUUCAUACAAUUUCGAGUUUUCCCAACUUCCACGAGUGUUGAUAUAACUAUAUAUCAAUACGGAAAAAAUGUUUUAUAUUUUUUUUUAUAAUAUAGCAAUGUCAAAAGCCCGAAGGAUAAGAAAAAUUUCCGUGUUUACAAGCGGCGGAAAAUUUCCUGUGUUGACAUUGAGUUAUAUCAACACGGCUCUUAGCCAAUCAGCGUUCAGAAUUUACAAAUGCUAUAUUAUAAUGCAUGAUAUAAAUGGUUACCAUAUCAGUCUAUUUACCAUAGCGAACAUACCUACAAAUAACGUCCAUCCUAAGGUCACAUGGCCUAUUCCGAAAUGUUUAGAAAACAUAUCGUAGAUCGGUUUCAUUACAUUCAAAUUCACAGUGCUGCCC